rnacentral:rRNA from 1 species
UACGGAAGGCAGCAGUGGGGAAUAUUGCACAAUGGGCGCAAGCCUGAUGCAGCCAUGCCGCGUGUAUGAAGAAGGCCUUCGGGUUGUAAAGUACUUUCAGUCGUGAGGAAGGUGUUAAGGUUAAUAACCUUAGCAAUUGACGUUAGCGACAGAAGAAGCACCGGCUAACUCCGUGCCAGCAGCCGCGGUAAUACGGAGGGUGCGAGCGUUAAUCGGAAUUACUGGGCGUAAAGGGCACGCAGGCGGUUAAUUAAGUUGGAUGUGAAAUUCCCGGGCUUAACCUGGGAAUGGCAUUCAAGACUGGUUAGCUAGAGUCUUGUAGAGGGGGUAGAAUUCCAUGUGUAGCGGUGAAAUGCGUAGAGAUGUGGAGGAAUACCGGUGGCGAAGGCGGCCCCUGGACAAAGACUGACGCUCAUGUGCGAAAGCGUGGGGAGCAAACGAGGGAUUAGAUACC